UGUCUGCGAGGCUUUUGAAAGAAUCGCAUUGUUUUGAAUGGAACAAUCGCCCUAUAGUAGGGUUAGGGAUUUUCACCCAGCUAGGGUUUGGGUUAGAAAAACUAGGUGUCCGGGGAAAAUUUUUUGGUUGCAUUGGGCCAGGAGUGGGAAGAAAUUUUGAGCUGUGCAAAAAAACCAACUCUGGGAGGGUUUUUAAAAAAAUGGCAUUGUUUUGAAUGGAACAAUUGCCCUAUAUUAGGGUUAGGGAUUUUCACCAGGCUAGGGUUAGGGUUAGAAAAACUAGGUGUCCAGGGACAAUUUUUAUGGUUGCAUUAGGCCGGGAAUGGGAAGUAAGGUUGAGCUGUGCAAAACAACCAAGUCUGGGAGGGUUUUUAAAAAACGGCAUUGUUUUGUAUGCAAAAAUCAGCCUAUAUUAAUGUUAGGGAUUUACAGCAGGCUAGGGUUGGGUUAGAAAACCUAGGUGUCCAGGGACAAUUUUCAUGGUUGCAUUAAGUCGGGAAGGGGAAGUAAUGUGGAGCUGUGACAAAAAACCAACUCUGGCAGGGUUUUUAAAAAAUGUCAUAGUGUUGAAUGGAACAUUCGCCCUAUAUU